AGCAGCCGCGGUAAUUCCAGCUCCAAUAGCGUAUAUUAAAGUUGUUGCAGUUAAAAAGCUCGUAGUUGAAUUUCGGGAUCAGUAGGUUGGUCAUACCUCUGGUAUGUACUGGUCUCACUGAUUCCUCCCUCUUGAAGAACUGUAAUGCCAUUAAUUUGGUGUUGCAGGGAAACUGGACUGUUACUUUGAAAAAAUUAGAGUGUUUAAAGCAAGCUAACGCUUGAAUACAUUAGCAUGGAAUAAUGAAAUAGGACGUAUGAUCCUAUUUUGUUGGUUUCUAGGAUUGACGUAAUGAUUAAUAGGGGAUAGUUGGGGGGCAUUAGUAUUCAAUUGUCAGAGGUGAAAUUCUUGGAUUUAUUGAAGACUAACUACUGCGAAAGCAUUUUGCCAAGGAUGUUUUCAUUAAUCAAGAACGAAAGUUAGGGGAUCGAAGACGAUCAGAUACCGUCGUAGUCUUAACCAUAAACUAUGCCGACUAGGGAUCGGAUGAUGUUAAUUUUUUAAUGACUCAUUCGGCGCC
rnacentral:rRNA from 1 species